rnacentral:lncRNA from 1 species
CUCUCCUUCUUUAUCACUUCCUAUUAAUUGCAACCAUGACCAAGGUCUACUUGUCUACCCUCAACAAGUUUCAAUCAACAUUCUUUUUAUAUGUGAAGCGAUCACUUCCCAUAAGAUCAUUACAUGAUAUUUCAUGCUUUUGUUCUUUUCUCACUCUUUUGAUCAUGGCAAGAGGCAAAGCCCUUCAACUAAGACACUCUUUAUUAUAUGGCUCACGGGCUCGAAUACAUUGGGGGUGACACAAAGCAAAACUCAAGACUAAAACACUAAGACUUUUAUUCUACUAGAGAAAAAGAAAAUUGAAAAGGAACAAAUUAAAAC